GACGUAGGAUGCAAGCGUUAUCCGGAUUCAUUGGGUUUAAAGGGAGCGUAGGUGGUCUUAUAAGUCAGUGGUGAAAUCUCUGGGCUUAACCCAGAAAUUGCCAUUGAUACUGUAGGACUUGAGUACAGAUGCCGUUGGCGGAAUAUGACAUGUAGUGGUGAAAUACAUAGAGAUGUCAUAGAACACCGAUUGCGAAGGCAGCUGACGAAACUGUAACUGACACUGAGGCUCGAAAGUGCGGGGAUCAAACAGG
rnacentral:rRNA from 1 species